GUGGGGAAUAUUGGGCAAUGGGGGAAACCCUGACCCAGCGACGCCGCGUGAGGGAAGAAGGCCUUAGGGUCGUAAACCUCUGUUGUGUGGGAAGAAGAGCGUGACGGUACCACACGAGGAAGUCCCGGCUAACUACGUGCCAGCAGCCGCGGUAAUACGUAGGGGACGAGCGUUGUCCGGAUUUACUGGGCGUAAAGGGCGCGUAGGCGGUCAUUUAAGUCAGCUGUGAAAUGGUUUGGCUUAACCGGAUCAUGCGGUUGAAACUGGAUGACUGGAGUGCUGGAUAUGCAAGUGGAAUUCCCAGUGUAGCGGUGAAAUGCGUAGAUAUUGGGAAGAACACCGGUGGCGAAGGCGACUUGCUGGCCAGCAACUGACGCUGAGGCGCGAAAGCCAGGGGAGCAAACGGGAUUAGAUACCCUAGUAGUCC
rnacentral:rRNA from 1 species